rnacentral:rRNA from 1 species
UACGUAGGGUCCGAGCGUUGUCCGGAAUUAUUGGGCGUAAAGGGCUCGUAGGCGGUUCGUCACGUCGGGAGUGAAAACUCGGGGCUUAACCCCGAGCCUGCUUCCGAUACGGGCAGACUAGAGGUAGGCAGGGGAGAGCGGAACUCCUGGUGUAGCGGUGGAAUGCGCAGAUAUCAGGAAGAACACCCGUGGCGAAGGCGGCUCUCUGGGACGGUAUUGACGCUGAGACGCGAAAGCGUGGGGAGCGAACAGG